rnacentral:rRNA from 1 species
UACGGAGGGGGUUAGCGUUGUUCGGAAUUACUGGGCGUAAAGCGCGCGUAGGCGGAUUAGAAAGUUGGGGGUGAAAUCCCGGGGCUCAACCUCGGAACUGCCUCCAAAACUGCUAGUCUAGAGUUCGAGAGAGGUGAGUGGAACUCCGAGUGUAGAGGUGAAAUUCGUAGAUAUUCGGAGGAACACCAGUGGCGAAGGCGGCUCACUGGCUCGAUACUGACGCUGAGGUGCGAAAGUGUGGGGAGCAAACAGG